AUUGAACGCUGGCGGCAUGCCUCACACAUGCAAGUCGAGCGGAGUGAUGGUGCUUGCACUAUCACUUAGCGGCGGACGGGUGAGUAAUGCUUAGGAAUCUGCCUAUUAGUGGGGGACAACAUCUCGAAAGGGAUGCUAAUACCGCAUACGUCCUACGGGAGAAAGCAGGGGAUCACUUGUGACCUUGCGCUAAUAGAUGAGCCUAAGUCGGAUUAGCCAGUUGGUGGGGUAAAGGCCUACCAAGGCGACGAUCUGUAGCGGGUCUGAGAGGAUGAUCCGCCACACGGGGACUGAGACACGGCCCAGACUCCUACGGGAGGCAGCAGUGGGGAAUAUUGGACAAUGGGGGGAACCCUGAUCCAGCCAUGCCGCGUGUGUGAAGAAGGCCUUAUGGUUGUAAAGCACUUUAAGCGAGGAGGAGGCUCUUUUGGUUAAUACCCAAGAUGAGUGGACGUUACUCGCAGAAUAAGCACCGGCUAACUCUGUGCCAGCCGCCGCGGUAACAC
rnacentral:rRNA from 1 species